GCCUGGAUAGCUCAGUAGGUUAGAGCAUGGUGUUGAUAAUGACAAGGUUGAAGGUUUGACCCCUAUAUGGGACA